CAACUACUCCCUCUGUCCCAAAUUUCUUGUCUUAGAUUUGUCUAGAUACGGAUGUAUCUAAUACUAAAAUGUGACUUGAUACAUCCGUAUCUAGACAAAUCUAAGAGAAUAAUUUUGGGACGGAGGGAGUACUUU
rnacentral:pre_miRNA from 1 species